rnacentral:rRNA from 1 species
CUGGGGCUUUACCAUGCAAGUCGAACGGCCAGCGCCGAGAGAGCUUGCUCUCUUGGCGGCGAGUGGCGGACGGGUGAGUAAUAUAUCGGAACGUGCCCAGUAGCGGGGGAUAACUACUCGUAAAGAGUGGCUAAUACCGCAUACGCCCUACGGGGGAAAGGGGGGGAUCGCAAGACCUCUCACUAUUGGAGCGGCCGAUAUCGGCAUUAGCUAGUUGGUGGGGUAAAGGCUCACCAAGGCAACGAUCCGUAGCUGGUUUGAGAGGACGACCAGCCACACUGGGACUGAGACACGGCCCAGACUCCUACGGGAGGCAGCAGUGGGGAAUUUUGGACAAUGGGGGAAACCCUGAUCCAGCCAUCCCGCGUGUAUGAUGAAGGCCUUCGGGUUGUAAAGUACUUUUGGCAGAGAAGAAAAGGUACCUCCUAAUACGAGGUACUGCUGACGGUAUCUGCAGAAUAAGCACCGGCUAACUACGUGCCAGCAGCCGCGGUAAUACGUAGGGUGCAAGCGUUAAUCGGAAUUACUGGGCGUAAAGCGUGUGUAGGCGGUUCGGAAAGAAAGAUGUGAAAUCCCAGGGCUCAACCUUGGAACUGCAUUUUUAACUGCCGAGCUAGAGUAUGUCAGAGGGGGGUAGAAUUCCACGUGUAGCAGUGAAAUGCGUAGAUAUGUGGAGGAAUACCGAUGGCGAAGGCAGCCCCCUGGGAUAAUACUGACGCUCAGACACGAAAGCGUGGGGAGCAAACAGGAUU